rnacentral:rRNA from 1 species
GAUGAACGCUGGCGGCGUGCCUAAUACAUGCAAGUCGAGCGAACGGACGCGAAGCUUGCUUCUCUGAUGUUAGCGGCGGACGGGUGAGUAACACGUGGAUAACCUCCCUAUAAGACUGGGAUAACUUCGGGAAACCGUAGCUAAUACCGGAUAAUAUUUUGAACCGCAUGGUUCAAAAGUGAAAGACGGUCUUGCUGUCACUUAUAGAUGGAUCCGCGCUGCAUUAGCUAGUUGGUAAGGUAACGGCUUACCAAGGCAACGAUGCAUAGCCGACCUGAGAGGGUGAGCAGCCACACUGGAACUGAGACACGGUCCAGACUCCUACGGGAGGCAGCAGUAGGGAAUCUUCCGCAAUGGGCGAAAGCCUGACGGAGCAACGCCGCGUGAGUGAUGAAGGUCUUCUGAUCGUAAAACUCUGUUAUUAGGGAAGAACAUAUGUGUAAGUAACUGUGCACAUCUUGACGGUACCUAAUCAGAAAGCCACGGCUAACUACGGU